GCCUCCAUGGCGGCGGUGCAGGCGGGCGGCGGCGUUGGACCCCAAUGGUGGCUCGCGCGGGCGGCGGGGUUGUCUAAGUUUUUUUUGUUGUUGCAAAAAUCACCAUGAACUACGUCUGUGACAAGCUUUCCUUUAGUUUUUAUCUCUUGACCCGUACUCUAUCAUCUUUUUAAUUUAUUUAUUUGAACCAGAAACCGAAUCAAUAUUUCUAUCCGUCAUCCUUCAUUACUUUCACCUGACAUAUGGGGAUGGCUGACAUGAGGGCGUCCAAACAAAAUAUCUGUACCACGUGACCAGGUACAGGUCCAGAGUAAGCCCUUAACAGAGCCAACGUCCGUCCGCUCCCCCGUCGGGAACUGUCAGUACGUACACUGUGGCCUGCAGCGUAUACAUCGUUUUGAAUUCAUGUAUUCCUUUGACAGUGACCUGCAGAACAGAUCUCGAUGCUUGCCUGGGCGGCUCAGAUUUCGGGUUCACCUGGACCUGAGAGCCAAAACGCCCCGCUGCAUUGUUAAAUUCCACAGGGGAAAUGAUAGUACGUACGUAGAAAUGGCAUCAUGGUGACGGCAUUUUUUUUAAAGAAAUAAAGAAUUAAGUAGCUCAUCUAAAGCUUUAGUGCAAAUCUGUGUUUAUUUUUCUAAAUGAAUCUUUAAUGAAUCAAAUCUUGUUUAAGAGCUUCAUCAUCCAUGUGUUAG
rnacentral:lncRNA from 1 species